rnacentral:rRNA from 1 species
CGGCUAACUCUGUGCCAGCAGCCGCGGUAAGACAGAGGUGCAAACGUUGUUCGGAAUUACGUGGCGUAAAGCGCGUGUAGGCCGCUUGGAAAGUCGGAUGUGAAAGCCCUGGGCUCAACCUAGGAAGUGCAUUCGAAACUUCCAAGCUGGAGUGCUGGAGAGGAAAGCGGAAUUCUCGGUGUAGAGGUGAAAUUCGUAGAUAUCGAGAGGAACACCGGUGGCGAAGGCGGCUUUCUGGACAGUCACUGACGCUGAGACGCGAAAGCGUGGGGAGCAAACAGGAUUAGAUACCCUGGUAGUCCACGCCGUAAACGAUGGGUGCUAGGUGUCGCGGGCUUUGACCCCUGCGGUGCCGUAGCUAACGCAUUAAGCACCCCGCCUGGGGAGUACGGCCGCAAGGCUAAAACUCAAAGGAAUUGACGGGG